rnacentral:rRNA from 1 species
CCUACGGGUGGCAGCAGUAGGGAAUCUUCCACAAUGGACGAAAGUCUGAUGGAGCAACGCCGCGUGUGUGAUGAAGGGUUUCGGCUCGUAAAACACUGUUGUAAGAGAAGAAUGACAUUGAGAGUAACUGUUCAGUGUGUGACGGUAUCUUACCAGAAAGGAACGGCUAAAUACGUGCCAGCAGCCGCGGUAAUACGUAUGUUCCAAGCGUUAUCCGGAUUUAUUGGGCGUAAAGCGAGCGCAGACGGUUAUUUUAGUUCGGAGUUGAAAGCCCACGCCUAAAUGGUGAAGGGCCUUUGGAACUGGAUAACUUGAGUGCAGUAGAGGAGAGUGGAACUCCAUGUGUAGCGGUGAAAUGCGUAGAUAUAUGGAAGAACACCAGUGGCGAAGGCGGCUCUCUGGACUGUAACUGACGUUGAGGCUCGAAAGCGUGGGGAGCAAACAGGAUUAGAUACCCCAGUAGUC